GACGAACGCUGGCGGCGUGCUUAACACAUGCAAGUCGAACGGAAAGGCCCUGCUUUUGUGGGUUGCUCGAUUGGCGAACGGGUGAGUAACACGUGAGUAACAUGCCCUUGACUUUGGGAUAAAUUCAGGAAACUGGGGCUAAUACCGGAUAGGAGCUCCUGCUGCAUGGUGGGGGUUGGAAAGUUUCGGCGGUUGGGGAUGGACUCGCGGCUUAUCAGCUUGUUGGUGGGGUAGUGGCUUACCAAGGCUUUGACGGGUAGCCGGCCUGAGAGGGGGACCGGCCACCUUGGUCCUGAGAUAGGGCCCAGUAUCCUAUGGGCGGCAGUAGGGGGGAAUAUUGCACAAUGGGCGGAAGUCUGAUGCAGCAACGCCGCGUGCGGGAUGACGUCCUUCGGGUUGUAAACCGCUUUCGCCUGUGCCGAAGCGUGAGUGACGGUAAUGGGUAAAGAAGCACCGGCUAACUACGUG
rnacentral:rRNA from 1 species